AAGGUCGUAACAAGGUUUUCCCGUAGGUGAACCCGCGGAAGGAUCAUUACCGAGUUUUUGCCUGCACAGGAAACUCCCCACCCUUUCGACUAUUGCGACGUUGCUUCCGGCCGAGACGUUGGAAAACCAGCCGUUUGGCGGAAACGAUCAAUUCCUGCCGGCCGCGGGCUCGCCGGAGUUCUCUACUCUGAAUUUGUAUCGUCAGAUAAAAGCAAGCAAUGAAAAAACC
rnacentral:misc_RNA from 1 species